GCCAGGAUCGCCUAGUCCGGUAGGGCGGUGGUCUCGAAAACCACUGGGGUCUCCCCACGGGGGUUCGAAUCCCUCUCCUGGCGCCA
rnacentral:tRNA from 5 species